GACGAACGCUGGCGGCGUGCUUAACACAUGCAAGUCGAGCGGUAAGGCCCUUUCGGGGGUACACGAGCGGCGAACGGGUGAGUAACACGUGGGUGACCUGCCCUCAGCUCUGGGAUAAGCCUGGGAAACCGGGUCUAAUACUGGAUAUGACUCCAUGACGCAUGUUGUGGGGUGGAAAGCCUUGUGCGGCUGAGGAUGGGCCCGCGGCCUAUCAGCUUGUUGGUGGGGUGAUGGCCUACCAAGGCGACGACGGGUAGCCGGCCUGAGAGGGCGACCGGCCACACUGGGACUGAGACACGGCCCAGACUCCUACGGGAGGCAGCAGUGGGGAACCUUGCGCAAUGGGCGAAAGCCUGACGCAGCGACGCCGCGUGAGGGAUGACGGCCU
rnacentral:rRNA from 1 species